AAAUUGAAGAGUUUGAUCAUGGCUCAGAUUGAACGCUGGCGGCAGGCCUAACACAUGCAAGUCGAACGGUAACAGGAAACAGCUUGCUGUUUCGCUGACGAGUGGCGGACGGGUGAGUAAUGUCUGGGAAACUGCCUGAUGGAGGGGGAUAACUACUGGAAACGGUAGCUAAUACCGCAUAACGUCGCAAGACCAAAGAGGGGGACCUUCGGGCCUCUUGCCAUCGGAUGUGCCCAGAUGGGAUUAGCUAGUAGGUGGGGUAACGGCUCACCUAGGCGACGAUCCCUAGCUGGUCUGAGAGGAUGACCAGCCACACUGGAACUGAGACACGGUCCAGAC
rnacentral:rRNA from 1 species